GGGGUGUAUGGCUCAGUGGGAAAGCACCCGCUUUACAUACAGAUGGUCCCUGGUUCAAUCCCAGCAUCUCCA
rnacentral:tRNA from 1 species